rnacentral:tRNA from 1 species
GGCCGGUUGGCCGAGCGGUUAAGGCGGCGGUUUUAGGAACCGCUCUCUUUGUUGAGGCGGGGGUUCGAAUCCCUCACCGGCCA